rnacentral:lncRNA from 1 species
UAAAUUUCCUUACAUUACUAAACAAAAAUACGAAACAGUAACCUUAAAAUCAGAAUCUAGGCUUCAGAGAUUUCCUCCGUAUCACCGCUCACUCUGCUACGGUAUCUUCUGUAUCUGAAGGGUGAUAGGAUGAAUGAGAUAAAAUAUCCCAAUAAGCAAUAUUAUUAAAACACAACAUAGUACAUGCGAUAUAUAAUUCUUUUACACACAACAGAAUAUAUAUCAUAUAAUAUUUCCAAAAUAGAUACGAAUCAGAAAAUGAAAGCACAAAUAAUAAAACAGAUGCAUGUUGUAUCCUUCAUCACUAUUAUAGAGGAUCAAUCAGUUACCAUACAUUAUGCAUUGGUACAUAUAUUUAUCACUGAUUUCCCAUGUACCCGAAUACGGAAUGACAUACAUGAGUACCUUGAAACACUGCUACCCCCCGAAUACAGAACGGUUAGAGCACGCAGAUCAGACUAUUUCUCCAUACACCCAAACACAUAACAGUUAUGUAUGGGUACACACUUAUAACUUUGCCAAUACAUCCAAACACAGAACAGUUAUGUAUGACCAAAUUGAAGCAUAACAUAAUGUAAGU